rnacentral:rRNA from 1 species
UACGGGGGGGGGCAAGCGUUGUUCGGAAUUACUGGGCGUAAAGGGUUCGUAGGUGGCCUGCUAAGUCAGACGUGAAAUCCCUCAGCUUAACUGGGGAACUGCGUCUGAGACUGGUGGGCUUGAGUGCAGGAGAGGAACGCGGAAUUCCAGGUGUAGCGGUGAAAUGCGUAGAUAUCUGGAGGAACACCGGUGGCGAAGGCGGCGUUCUGGACUGCUACUGACACUGAGGAACGAAAGCCAGGGGAGCAAACGGG